CACGUAGGGUGCAAGCGUUGUCCGGAAUUAUUGGGCGUAAAGGGCUCGUAGGCGGUCCGUCACGUCGGGAGUGAAAACUCGGGGCUCAACCCCGAGCCUGCUUUCGAUACGGGCGGACUAGAGGUAGGUAGGGGAGAACGGAAUUCCUGGUGUAGCGGUGGAAUGCGCAGAUAUCAGGAGGAACACCGGUGGCGAAGGCGGUUCUCUGGGCCUUACCUGACGCUGAGGCGCGAAAGCUAGGGGAGCGAACAGG
rnacentral:rRNA from 1 species